GUGUGACCCCAGGAUGGGCGGGGUGACCCGCUGAGUUUAAGCAUAUCAAUAAGCGGAGGAGAGGAAACUUACGAGGAUUCCCCUA
rnacentral:rRNA from 1 species